UACGGAGGAUGCAAGCGUUAUCCGGAAUGAUUGGGCGUAAAGCGUCCGCAGGUGGCUAUGUAAGUCUGCUGUUAAAGAGUGAGGCUCAACCUCAUAAGAGCAGUGGAAACUACAUAGCUAGAGUGCGUUCGGGGCAGAGGGAAUUCCUGGUGUAGCGGUGAAAUGCGUAGAUAUCAGGAAGAACACCGGUGGCGAAAGCGCUCUGCUAGGCCGCAACUGACACUGAGGGACGAAAGCUAGGGUAGCAAACGGG
rnacentral:rRNA from 1 species